GUUUCGUAGUAGGAGGUUGAAAAACAGACUUCUUAACUAGUUCGAGGUUGUAAAAUAGACUUAUCCCUUCCUUUAUCUCUCGUGCAUUUUUAUUUACCGAACACUCCAAGGUGGUCUUUUCAUGUAUUGCUUCAUUAAAAUGAGUGUCAAGAAGCAUAUUACAGGCUACUGUACGGAAGUAAAGUAAACAACUGAAUCAGGUAGCUUAUGCUCUUUUUUUGUUCUUAAAAGAGUCAGAUUAAAAUGGUUCAGUGAACUAAUCUUGACACGAUUUAGCUUUGCCACGCAUCGUAACGGUGCGAAUUUCUUGAACAAGCAAAUGUGCUAAUGCUGUAAAAAGUCUCAGGUGGAAGGAAAGAUGGACAAAAAAUCGACUGACACUUGCAGUUUUAACCAAAGAUAAUCGUCGCAGAGAUGAUAGCUACCAUGAUCGAAAAGUUGCCCUUAUCUUGCUAUUGCAGUAUAGCGAAACCAACUGACUGAUGUUCCCUCAGGUUCCAUUUCUUCAAAUCUGACAGAUUUUUACGCAUUCACACGGUCUCUCUGAAGAUAUAAAUCCACACUCCCAGUGGGGCGGCGGGGGCUGGGGGUCGACCUGUCCUUGACCGGCGGCGGCGUGAGCGCACUCCCAGUGCGCGGUGACUGCCUGUCGUUACUCAUGGUCGAUCGACGAGGACCCUCUCGUGGGUGCUCAGCGGGAAGUACUUUUGCGGUUGCAGCUAACGAACAAGGAUGAUGCGUGUCUCGUGCCAGAGUUGAUUCCUCUGUUCCGUCACCUCUGUUUCCAUCAGGGGGCAAAACGAGCAGAGGACGGCAUGCGUGUGCCUGCUGGUCGUCAGUUGCCGCGAGCAGGUCACUGGAUUGCAGCUAGAUUCGCCCAAUCCAAUCAAUAUUCAGCGACCCGUGAAUUCAAUAGAACAUGAUUCCCAGGUGGAAAGAUAGACGAAAAACUAGAUCAGACUUCAGACUGAGACAAUCGUCCCAGAGAUGAUAGUGAUCAUGAUUGAUUGCAGUUACCUUGUCUUGCUCUUGAGAAACCAAACGUUUGAUAUUCUCUCAAGCUUUGUUUUUCUUAUAA